rnacentral:rRNA from 1 species
AUCCGAUUAGAGUUUGAUCAUGGCUCAGGACGAACGCUGGCGGCGUGCCUAAUACAUGCAAGUCGAACGAACUCUGGUAUUGAUUGGUGCUUGCAUCAUGAUUUACAUUUGAGUGAGUGGCGAACUGGUGAGUAACACGUGGGAAACCUGCCCAGAAGCGGGGGAUAACACCUGGAAACAGAUGCUAAUACCGCAUAACAACUUGGACCGCAUGGUCCGAGUUUGAAAGAUGGCUUCGGCUAUCACUUUUGGAUGGUCCCGCGGCGUAUUAGCUAGAUGGUGGGGUAACGGCUCACCAUGGCAAUGAUACGUAGCCGACCUGAGAGGGUAAUCGGCCACAUUGGGACUGAGACACGGCCCAAACUCCUACGGGAGGCAGCAGUAGGGAAUCUUCCACAAUGGACGAAAGUCUGAUGGAGCAACGCCGCGUGAGUGAAGAAGGGUUUCGGCUCGUAAAACUCUGUUGUUAAAGAAGAACAUAUCCGAGAGUAACUGUUCAGGUAUUGACGGUAUUUAACCAGAAAGCCACGGCUAACUACGUGCCAGCAGCCGCGGUAAUACGUAGUGGCAAGCGUUGUCCGGAUUUAUUGGGGCGUAAAGCGAGCGCAGCGGUUUUUAAGUCUGAUGUGAAAGCCUUCGGCUCAACCGAAGAAGUGCAUCGGAAACUGGGAAACUUGANUGCAGAAGAGGACAGUGGAACUCCAUGUGGUAGCGGUGAAAUGCGGUAGAUAUAUGGAGGAACANCAGUGGCGAAGCGGCUGUCUGGUCUGUAACUGACGCCUGAGGCCCGAAGUAUGGGUAGCNACAGAUAAGAUNNNUGGUAGUCCAUAACCGUAACGAUGAAUGCUANUGUUGNAAGGUUCGCCCUUCANGCUGCAGCUAANGCAAUAAGGCAUUCNCCUGGGANACAGCC